CAACAGUGUGUAUCAAUGUGCCUGUUAUCCCACGGUCUCUCCAACAUAAAUCAUUUUACGUUUUUGUCAUCUUUGCCAAUGUGAUAGAUGUAAUAUGGAAUCUCAAGUUUGCUUUGAAUAGCAUUUCUCUCAGUAGUUAUUUGGAGCAUUUUUUCCUCUAGAGAAUGUUAGUUUUUUUUUCCUUGAGAAUUGCUUGUUCAUGACAAUUUUCAGAUGAAGAAAUUAAAGCCAUUUCUAAUCAUAUAAAAAUGCUCAGAAUCACUAUUGAUUAAAGAAAUGCAAAUUACCACAACUCUGAGGUACUACUUCAUACCCUUCAGACUGGCCAAGAGGAUAGGAAAAGAUAAUGAAUAAAUGUUGGAGUAGAUGUGGGAAAACUGGAACGCUAAUGCAUUGUUGGUGGAGUUGUGAAAUGACCCAACCAUUCUGGAAAGCAGUUUGGAACUAUGCCCCCAAAACUAUCAAACUGUACAUAUUCUUAGAUUUGGCAGUCUGUACCGGAUCUCUAUCCCAAAGAGAUCAUCAAAGAGGGAAAAGGAGCCAUGUGGGCUAAAAUAUUUGUAGCAGCCCUUUUUGUAGUGUCAAGGAACUGGAAAUUGAGUCAGAUUUCCCAUCAGUUGGGGAAUGGCUGAAUAAGCUAUGGUAUAUUAAUGUAAUGGAAUAUUAUUAUUGUUCUAUAAGAAAUGAGGAACAAGCUGAUUUCAGAAAAGUCUGGAAACACAUACAUGAACUGAAGUAAACAGAAUGAAGAGAAUACUGUACAGAGCUAACAAUAUUAUGUGAUGAUCAUUUGUGAUAGUUGGCUCGUUUCAACAAUAUGGUCAUUCAAGGCAAUCCCUCUAGACUUGUGAUGGAAAGUGCCAUCUAUAUCCAGAGAGACAUGGAGACUGUAUGUUGAUCAAAGCAGAGUAUUUUUACCACUUGUUGCUGUUUAUUUGCUUGGCUUUUUUCUUUCUUGUAUUUUUCCCCUUUGAUCUGAUUUUUCUUGCACAACAUGACAAAUAUGGAAAUAUGCUUAGAAGAAUUUCAUAUCUACAUCAGAUUGUUUGCUGUCUUGGGGAGGUGGGAG
rnacentral:lncRNA from 1 species